GUCAACCUGCUGAAAGAAAAAGGCCAGUUUCGAUUACCUUGACGCUCGAAGGUCACGGAGAUCAUUACGUAAAACGUGUCAUGCAGUGGUGUAGAGGUUGGGUGAGAAUGACACGUGUUGCUUCAUUAUCAAAAAGACCCAUCCCCGGCAAAGUCACCUGCAGAAGGAAAGGCCAGUUUGCAUUUCAAUCGAAGGUCAUGAAGAUCAUUACGUAAAAGGUGUCAGGUAUUGGUGUAGAGGUUGGGUGAAAACGGGACGUUUUGCUUCAUUAUCAAGAAGGUAAAAUAUAGCCAUUAGGCUUAAGAGGAGGGGUGAGAAAAAAUUGUAUUAAAGGCGAGAGAAAAGUUGACAGGGAUCAGUCGAGUGAGCAUCUCCGACCCGGCGACAACUUCAUUCUUCGUCGUAUUACCAGGUCGCAAUCACGGUUAACAAUGCCGUCAUGCUGCUAUUGGUUGUUGUAUCGUCGAUGGCUGGGUCGAUCACUGGUGUACCGACGUAUCCUGGUUAAGGCGGAUACCAAACCGCAACGCCACCGCCUUACUAAACAACAACAUACGCAACGACCAGAUACUACACCGAGGUUGCACUGUUGGGUUUACAGUUAAAUCACCAAGGAUCCAAAUUAUUACACCACAACUUGUGCUGCUCCUCGAGCUACACUACCAAAGCGCUACAGUACUACACCGAGGCACCUACUGAGACUACGCAACUACGUAUGCUGCCCCAACCUACGACACCGAGGCUCCAGCUUAUUACAUCACCAAGGCUGUCGAAUUCUACACUGGAGCGCCCAAGUACGACAGAAAUCAGUCAAGUGAGCUUCUCCGACACCCAACACGGCAACCCCGAAGUUUCGAAUAAACUUCGUUUCAAACAGUGGAACGGCAAAGAGUGAAGAACAAGACGAAUUCGACUGCAAUCGCGUCGAAUUGAAUAGUAAAGAUAACAUAUUCGUACGUGUACACCGCGCCAUUAAACUUGACAUUUGCGGUCGGCAAGCCGCACUUGACGAUGGCCGUACCAUCACCUACGACAAGGGCGUUAUUGCCACAGGUGUUAAACGAAAAUCUUUUCCAAUCCCUGAGCGGUGCCCUUAAAGAUGCCCACGAGCACGUAGCGCUGUUCCGCAACAUCGAUGGUGGUAACAUAGGUCGAGUUCUCCGUUCCCCUAAAUAUUUGAGCCAAUGGACAACCGAGAAAGUGAAAGCGGAAAGUGUUAAUGUUUUGCCCAAAGCUAAUGUUGAGGGUGUAAUUUUGGAAGACUACAAGGUCGCAUUGUCCUUAAACAAUGGUCAAAAGAUUUAAACUGACAAUGUCGUCGUUGCUGUCGGUUGGGACGUAAACACGGAUUUGGCUGUUGCUUUUGGUUUGGAAAUAGAGGAGAGGAGAUUUUGGUGGUUAUCGAGUCAAUACCGAGCUUGAAGCACAAUCGAACGUUUGUUUGACUGGAGAUGUUACGUUCUUUUCUGAUAUCAAAUUGGGUCGCUGUUGUAUGGAACAUGUUCACCAUGCUGUUGUAUCAGGGCGAUUGGCUGGAGAGAACAAUACUGGCAAAGAAAUAUGGAUGAAAAACUGCAGUGCACUAUUACCAAGUGGAUUCUUCGUCGUAUUAUCAGUACGCAAUCGGUUGAUUGUGAUGUCGCCGUUUGCCGUAUCGUUGAAAGCUGGG